AAUUCUUUAACCAAACGUGUCUUUGUCUGAGUAACGUCUUUUAAAAUAAAGCAAAACUUUCAACAACGGAUCUCUUGGUUCUGGCAUCGAUGAAGAACGCAGCGAAAUGCGAUAAGUAAUGCGAAUUGCAGAAUUCUCGUGAGUCAUCGAAUCUUUGAACGCACAUU
rnacentral:rRNA from 1 species